GGCGACGAAGGACGUGAUAGCCUGCGAUAAGCUUCGGGGAGCUGGCAAAUUAGCUUUGAUCCGGAGAUUUCCGAAUGGGGAAACCCACCGAAAGGUAUCGCAUGAUGAAUACAUAGUCAUGCGAGGCGAACCGGGUGAACUGAAACAUCUCAGUAGCUCGAGGAAAAGACAUCAACCGAGAUUCCGAAAGUAGUGGCGAGCGAAAUCGGAGAAGCCUG
rnacentral:rRNA from 1 species